GAUAAGGUUACCUUGAAGCACCCCAGCACUUUUCUCGUCCCACACCCAUGUGAGGCACCAAUAACAUGGGCUAAAUUACCAGCACCUAUUUGCUGCAUCCCCUGCCAGAGCCUGUACUCCCCUGUUUAUGGCCCUGACCUAACAUCCCAUUCUCCCCCAGCCAUGAUCCCAAAUCCGGCACUUUGAAAACCCUCAUCCCGCUUUUCUCACGAGACUGUGGAGCUUCACCCGUGGAUUGGAUGGGGACGACAAAGAGGAACAUCUUUUCCUGAGUGGGAUUUAAGAUCACCUGGGUGAAACCGUCCAAAUAAGAUUACACAAGCAAAAUCAAAGGACAUUCGGCUGAAGUACCACCAUGGCUCAGGCAACUAAAGGUCCCGCAGUGAAGCCCAUCUCUCCCACCUCUGUAGAUGACCCGACUAAGGCAGCACACCCAGACUCACUUACAGCCCGGAGCCAUGGAAUUUUACGAAUCAUGAAUCGCCCGGCACAAUGGGUGGUCAUCAUCACACUUCUGAUCUCUUGGUCAAUAGCAGGUGUUGUCAUGUUUGACUUUGUCAGUGACGAUCAGAUUGCAAGCAUCCAAGAUUUCAGCUCUGAUCCAGUGCUAGCAGUGAACAAAGCCAUUGAAGUCAUUGAAAACAGGAUAAAUCAUAUGAAUGACAUGUUUAAUGAUGCUCAAGAGUACGUCACUGAAAUAAUAUUUAAUCCGGUGGAAGCUAUUAGUUCAACUGCUGACUCAUCUGUGUCUUAUCUGUCAGGAAUAUUUAGUGCCGAUGGAGAUUUAGGAAUCACUGAAACAGUGAAAUAUGGGGGCACUGUAUUGGAUGAGGCUACAGAAUGGAUCAGAUCCCCAGUGAGCUACGUAUUCCACUUAUUUGAAGACAUUUUGGAUAUAGUGGUUGCUCCAGUGGAUAUGGUCAGUGAAGCUCUUGUGCAAAUGUUAAGUGGGAUCAAGACUGUUAUACUUUAUAUUUCCUCCAUGUUUGGGGGCAUUGAAGGGUACACAGGCAUCACUGAAACAGUGAACCUUGGUGGCACUGUACUGGAUGAGGUUACUGACUGGAUUAGAUUCCCAGUGGCCUACUUAUUCCAUUUAUUUGAAGAUAUCCUGGAUGUAGCAAUCAUUUAUCCAGCAGACAUUGCCAGUGAAGCAGCUCUGCAAAUUUUAAGUGGGAUCAAGAACAUUUCUUCAACCAUAUUCGGGAACCUUGAAGCUUGGUUUCCCAAAACGAGCACUGAUCCUGCGGGACUGGCUGAAAUAGUUGUAGAGGAGGCUGCAGAAGUAAAGACCACCGUUUCUAAUUACCUAUCAAGUCUGUUUGCAGCGGAUGAAGGUGGUAUUUCUGACAUUAGCUUUGAUCCCAUGAAAGUUGUCACAGACACUGUUGAGGAGUUUGCUGACAGGAGGGAUAUGUUCUUGGCUUAUCUCUCAAACAUGCUCAUGGAAGACAAAGAUGACACACCGCAAGUGGUAAGACGAAAAGGAGAAUUUCUGCCCCCUAUGGAAAAAGUUGCAGAAAUACUAGGCAAAACACAGGACCCUGCCUAUGCUGCCUACAUUGCUGUGAGAUCCACAGACAGUACUAAACAGGAAAUAAAAGAGGUAGAACCCGCUGAAGAUACAACUGAAAAAGCUCAAGAUGUUGUGGACGUUCCAAAGGAUGAAGGGAUGGUUGAAACGGCUUUGUGCAGCUCUGAUGUCACAAUUGAAGACGAUGAGGUUGCCUCCGAUGACAUGGAGGAGGAUAAAACUGCUGGAACAGUUGAAGAUAUUGCAGAUGUCACAGAAGAGGAACCUUCUGUUAUGCAAGAAGACAUAGAUGGGGAAACAGAACCUGAAAAGUUUGAGGUUAUCUCUGAUUUUGCAGAGGACGACUCAACUGAUAUGACUUCUGAUGCUACAGAUGUGAAGGACAUGGAUGAUACCUCAGAUUUUGCAACAGCAGGUGAUGAAGUUACUGAAACAGUUGAAGAUAUUUUGGAUGUUACAGAAGAGGAACUUUCUGAUAUGGCAGAAGUCAUGGGUGAGGAAAAAACAACUGAAAAGGCUGAAGAUAUCUCAGAUUUUGUAGAUGAUAAAUCAACUGAAAUGACAUCUGAUGCUACAGAUGUUGACGCUGCCUCAGAUGAUGUUAAAGAGGAGGAAGAAGUUACUGAAACAGUUGAAGAUGCAGAUGUAACAGAGGAGGAACCAUCAGAUAUACCAGAAGUCAUAGAUGAGGAAACAGUGACUGAAAAGGUUGAAGAUAUCUCAGAUUUUGCAGAGGACAAAUCAACUGAAAUUACCGAAUCUGAUGAAUUUGAUGCUACAGAUAUGAAAGACACUGACAAUACCUCAGAUGUUGUUACAGAGGAAGAAGUUACUGAAACAGUUGAAGAUGUAGAUGUUACAGUGGAGGAAACAUCUGAUAUUCCAAAAGUAAUAGAUGAGGAAAUAACAACAGAAAAGUUUGACAAUAUCUCUGAUUUUAAAGAGGAUGAAUCAGCUGAAAUGACCUCUGAUGUGACAGAAGACACUGAUGCUGUUACAGAGGAGGAAGUAGUUACUAAAACAGCUGAAGAUAUUCCAGAUGUUACAGAGGAGGAAACAUAUGACAUUCCAGAAGUCAUAGAUGAGGAAUUAGCAACUGAAAAGCCUGAUGAUAUCUUUGACUCCACAGAGGAUGAGUUAACUAUGAUGACCUCUGAUGUGACCGAAGACACUGAUUAUAACUCAGAUGUUGUUACAGAGGGAGAAGUUACUAAAUCAGUUGAAGAUACUGCAGAUGUUACAGAGAAUGAACCAUCUGCUAUGGCAGAAGUCAUUGACAUUGAUGAUACCUCAGAUCAAGAUACCUCUGCAGUUAUAGAGGAGAAAGAAUCAACUGAAACAAUUGAAGAAGCAGCAAUUGAAACAGCAGAAGGUACUUCCUAUGUUAGAACCAAAACGGAAUUAGAUAAUACAGAUGAAAAUGAAUUUCAGAAAUACCCCAGUGUUACAGAGGAGGAGGAAGAACCUGAAAAAGUUAUAGAUACUUUUGAUUUCAUAAGUGAGGAAGAAAAACCUAAGACAGAUGAAGAUGCCAGCACUGAAGAAACAGCCAAAGAGUCACUAGAAAAAGAACCUUUAUUGGCUGAAGCUACUCCAGAUACCAUCUGUGUAAAGGAAAAGACUGAAGCAACAGAACUUGAUGAUCUUGAAGUCCUGGGUAAGGAUGACAUGAAAGUGGAAGGCAAGGAGGAGAAGGUAGAUGUGGCAAUUGCUGAUGGUGAAAACGGCACAAAGAACCUGGAGAAUGAUUUAGAUGAAGAUGAGGUUGAGGUUUUAAAAGAGGAGACUAAAGAUCAAACUAUCUUGGGAACCGCUGCUGGUGAAGAUGACAAUGAUGAUGAAGAGGAGCUUCUCCUUUCUCCUGUCCAGCAGGACCUAACAAACAGAGAUGAUGAAAAUAACAAUAACAAUGACAGGAAGAAAGAUGCCAUAAAAAGAGGCCUGAGCGGGAGAAAAACAUCAAAGAGUCAUUCCACUGAAACAGAUGACCAAGAAGCACACACGCAUCUUCAUGAAGUUCUUGAACAAGUGAAAGAAGCCAAAGAGAAAAAAGCUAGAGAGGAGAUAUACAAAAUCAUUCAAGAUAUGAGGGAGAAGAAGGCUGAUGGUGAAGAGGAAGAGAUAACACUAAAACAAAUAAACAUAACAGUAGAAAAAGUCAAGAAGAGAAAAGAACAUGAGAAAAAGGAGAUAGAAAAUAAUAAAAGAAAAGAAAAAUCCAAAGAGGACAAGACUCAAGAACCAACAAAAAAGGACACCAAGAAAAAACCUGACAAAAAGGUCAAGGUGACUAAAGUGGAUGAGGAACCUCCUCUAAAAAAGAAGAAAUCUGGACCUGAGAAAAAGGUUAAACCAGCAAAGAAAGAUGUUGAGAUGGCCAAAGACAAAGCACUUCCUUUAAAGAAAGAAGCUGAAGUGGCCAAAAAAGAGACCAAACUAGCACCAUCUAAGAAAGAGCCUGACGUUACAAAAGAAAAGGCCAAACCAGCUCUUUCAAAGAAAGAAAAAGCUGAAGUUAUCAAAGAAAAGGCAAAACCAGCUCCAAAAGGAAAAGAUGCUGAGGUUGUCAAGGAAAAAGCUAAACCAGUAAAGAAAGAACCUCAGGUUAUUAAAGAAAAGGUCCAGCCUGCACCUUCAAAGAAAGCUAAAGCUCCCAAGGAAAAAUCUAAACCUGUGAAGAAAGAAGCUGAACUCGCUGUCAAAAAAGCUAAACUUGCUCCUGUAAAGAAGGAGCCUGAGGUUCCCAAAGAGAAGGCCAAACAGGAGCCCUAUAAGAAAGGUAAAAAUAGAAGGCAAAACCAGCUCUUUUAA
ensembl:lncRNA